GCCGGGCGCACGGAGCGGGAAAUGCGGCCGCAUCCCGGAGGUGCCGGCCGGGGACCUCCGCCCUCCCCGGCGGAAGCCCGAGGGGGUCUCGGUGUCCUCAAGCGGCAGCUGAGGCCAACCUCUGCGCGCAGGACCGCGAAGCCGGGCAGCCGCGUCGGCUCCUGCGGGGUGUUGUCUUUCGUUAGUUACUCCCGAGCUUUCCCGCUUCCCAGCCCCGUGAAUACCGCCUGCACUUCUCAGAAGAGCAGCCUGCCGGUGGCUCCGGCACGCGCUGCAGUCCUGCGUUUGCGCCGCUAGGGGGAGAGCCCCUCGGGUUUGGGCCCGAGCGAAGCUUGGCCGCGUUUGCAGCCCUCGAGGGAAACUGCCCAGUCCUGAGGGCCAGGCGAAAAGCCUCCAGCUUAUGAUGCCGGGAACGGACCGCCUGGGUUUCUACCCCCCUGCCCCCCGCUUCUCAAUUCUGUAAAUAUUUAUUCUGCAUGUGUUCCAGACCUGGCCGUCGUCCUCCCAGAACUCACAGCCCCCGGAGCAAACAGCAGUGACCUGAAGAUUCCAGGAUUCACUCAAUCCAUUCAGACUUCACAACAGUGUGACCACAUCUUUCAGCCUUUGAUAUGACUCUGGACAGCCAAAAGUAGACAUGUCUCUUCUGGUAGCAGUAGACACUCUUCCUUGAUUUCAAGUUCCUUACUGACUCCCUUCUUUCUCUCUCAGUCCCUGAGCUCCUCAGUCUGAGGACCGGAAGGGUAUGUGUAGAACAGACAUUGAACACCCUUGGGGUAAAGAGGGUUGUUGUUGAUGAUUUUAGUUCUGCUAACAUUUGGUAAUUCAGAAACCUUUCUAGUCCACAGAAUAGUGCUUUUGUCACAGAAUUUUAAACGAAUGAACUAAGUUAUGAACUAAAUUACAAUUCUGAAACGUAGAUGUCCUAAACUUUAAUACAUUUGCUUUUUAUAUGCUGAUUCUUAUCUCACCAGCCUUUUCUCUGGACGUAAAUUCUGUCAUGGCUUCAGAUAGGUGCCCUUCCUUUCCUUUCUGUUUGCCAAACAGGUCAGGCCCCCUCUUUAUUUUUCUUGAAUCACAUUCACUGUGACCUUGAAUGAUUUGAACGAGAAUUUUGUGCUAUGGCUAUGUUUAUGUGAUACAUUGGGAGACACUCUGGUGCCACAAAUAGUAAUUCUGCCUCAGAAGUUUCCAAAUGAUCUUUCUGAGUGAAGAGUGUCAUGGGAAUGUAUUUAAAAAAAAUUUUUUUGUUAAGUUUAUUUAUUUAUCUGACCAACAGUCAGACAGACACCCAACCAAUGGAGCCACCCAGGUGCUCUAACAUACUAUCUUUUUUAAAUGAUUAUAUGCUUCUCCCUGAACCAACCUCCAUGGCCAAUAACGGCCAGGCUCCCACUCCUGAAGUUGGGUCAGUCCUCCUCAAACCACAUGGCUGAUGGAGGACAGAGCAAGACCUACAUACCACAAAGAGCAGGAAAUGGACAGAGGCAAACAAAGACAUCAACUACUGUGUUCAUUUCAGGCUUAUAAUAGUGAAAGAUGAAACACUUUAACCUAAAUAUACAGAAUAAGGGAAUAGUACAUAAAUUGAUAUAUCUUUACAGUGUUAAAUUAUGCAUCUGUUAAGAUACCACAUCCACAGAUUUAUUUUAUCUUAUUUUUUAUUAAAAAAAUUUUUUUU